GCCCGCUCAGAACACAAAGGAAUUGGACGGGGGCCCGCACAAGCGGUGGAGCAUGUGGUUUAAUUCGAUGAUACGCGAGGAACCUUUACCUGGGCUCAAAUGUAUGUUGACGUAUUUCUGAAAGGGAUACUUCUUCGGACAAUAUACAAGGUGCUGCAUGGUUGUCGUCAGCUCGUGCCGUGAGGUGUCGGGUUAAGUCCCAUAACGAGCGCAACCCCUAUCAUUAGUUGCCAUCAGGUCAAGCUGGGGACUCUAAUGAAACUGCCUACGCAAGUAGUGAGGAAGGUGGGGAUGACGUCAAAUCAGCACGGCCCUUACGGCCUGGGCUACACACGUGCUACAAUGGUCGGUACAAAGGGUUGCCAAGCCGCGAGGUGGAGCUAAUCCCAUAAAACCGAUCGUAGUCCGGAUCGCAGUCUGCAACUCGACUGCGUGAAGUCGGAAUCGCUAGUAAUCGUGAAUCAGAAUGUCACGGUGAAUACGUUCCCGGGCCUU
rnacentral:rRNA from 1 species